GGCGCUCCGGGGCACCCUGAAGUGCUUGCAGCCCCUGGGACCAGAGGCCGGGAAAGGGAGCAGAGGCUGCCCACAGCCCACCCAGGGGGCCUGGCAGGAGGCUGUAGUCUGCCCCAGAGGGACUCAGGGCCCGAGCCUUUCCCCCUCACAGCCGGAGGGUCCCAGGGCGACACCCAGCUCUCCCGGAGAAUGGGACAGCAUCGUGUGAGAGGCACAGUGGCUGGGGGGGGGGCAGAGGAGGACGCACCGGUCACCCAGUUGCACCACAAAGUCAGCCUCCAGGAUCCUCACACCCUCUGCUCUCCCACCAGGGCCCUGCAGCGCCACCAAGGAACUGCCACUAGAACUGCCAUUGGCCACCCCAUCCACUACCACUGUGACUCCCAACCCAGUUUUCAAUCCUGGGCUCUGUCUCCAGGGCACUGAGACUCCGGGAUGGCUUCGUGGAGGAGGUGCCCUUUGAAACCUGAACUAUGAACAUGAGUUGGCCAAAGCGUAGAGGAAGAAUGUUCCAGACUGGGACUCCCAGUCUGUAAGACAACACAGGAUUCCUCCCACCGUGUGUUUGGUCAGCAUCCUUAGGACAAAGCCAGAGGGGGAAAAAAUCGAAUUCAGGCUUGCCUUGAGCCACGGAACAGUUUGACUCCCUUAUGAUUUGCCAUUGUGAGGAGAAAAAAAAUUAGCUAAACAAGAUGUGUUUCUGGGAGAGAGUUUUCAUUAGUGGAAUAUCCUGAUUGCAAAGCCCCUUCCCCUUCCAAGUUAGUGGGGAUUUGAAAAGAUUCCAUUCCUUUCCUAGACCUUGUUUCCAUCAGAUGGAGAAUUAAGCCCAAAGAGCGCUUAAAUUAAUGAAUGAGCUUGUUCCCCAUUUUAACAUACAAACUUGGGGGAGGGGGUGCGUGGCAACAAGAGUCAACCAUUCAUUUUGCCAUUUCCGUUUAUUCUGCUAAUUUUUAAGGCUGUGCAACUUUUAGGGGAAAUUAAAUCCCUAGUGCCUGACUCAUUUUACACCAGGCUCAUCAAGAUGUGGCUUUCGAGGCCGCUUUGAAGUCUCAAGACUAGACGUGUGGUCAAGGGCCCACAUGCCUCUAAGUGCACUGGAA